rnacentral:rRNA from 1 species
AUUGAACGCUGGCGGCAGGCCUAACACAUGCAAGUCGAACGAGUGGCGGACGGGUGAGUAAUGUCUGGGAAACUGCCAGAUGGAGGGGGAUAACUACUGGAAACAGUAGCUAAUACCGCAUACCAUCGGAUGUGCCCAGAUGGGAAUAGCUAGUAGGUGGGGUAAAGGCUCCCCUAGGCGACGAGCCCUAGCUGGGCUGAGAGGAUGACCAGCCACACUGGAACUUAACCACGGUCCAGACUCCUACGGGAGUCAGCAGUGUGGAAUAUUGAACAAUGAGCGCAAUCCUGAUGCAGCCAUGCCGCGUGUAUGAAGAAGGCCUUCGGGUUGUAAAGUACUUUCAGCGGGGAGGCGUUACCCGCAGAAGAAGCACCGGCUAACUCCGUGCCAGCAGCCGCGGUAAUUC